rnacentral:rRNA from 1 species
GACGAACGCUGGCGGCGGGCUUAACACAUGCAAGUCGAACGGAAAGGCCGGGCUGUUGUGGGGUGCUCGAGAGGCGAGCGGGGGAGUAACACGCGAGUAACCUGUCCUUGACGUUGGGAUAAAUUCAGGAAACUGGGGCUAAUACCGGAGAGGAGCUCCUGCUGCACGGGGGGGGGUGGUAAGAGUCGGCGGUUGGGGAUGGAGUCGCGGCUUAUCAGCUUGUGGGUGGGGGAGCGGCUUACCAAGGCUUUGAGGGGUAGCCGGCCUGAGAGGGGGACCGGCCACAUCGCGACUGCGUGACGGCCCCGGCUCCUACGGGUGUCAGCAGUGGGGAAUAUGCCACAACGGGCCGAGGCCCGUUGGGGAAGCGCCGCGUGCGGGAUGACGGCCGCUGUGUUGUGAACCGAAUAAGCCUGUGACGAACCGUGGGUGACGGUACCGGGUAAAUAAGCACCGGCUAACUACGUG